rnacentral:rRNA from 1 species
GACGAACGCUGGCGGCGUGCUUAACACAUGCAAGUCGAACGGAAAGGCCCUGCGCUUGUGGGGUUCUCGAGUGGCGAACGGGUGAGUAACACGUGAGUAACCUGCCCUUGACUUUGGGAUAACUUCAGGAAACUGGGGCUAAUACCGGAGAGGAGCUCCUGCUGCAUGGUGGGCGUUGGAAAGUUUCGGCGUUGGGGGAUGGACUCGCGGCUUAUCAGCUUGUUGGUCGGGUAGUGGCUUCCAAAGGCUUUGACGGGUAGCCGGCAUGAGAGGGUGACCGGGCACAUUGGGACUGCGGUACGGACCAGAAUCCUACGGGCCGCAGCAGUGGGGAAUCUUGCACAACGGGCCGAAGCCUGAUGCAGCAACGCUGCGUGCGUGAUGCCGGCUUACGGGUUGUAAACAGCUUUCGCAUGUGCCGAAGCGUGAGUGACGGUAAUGGGUAAAAAAGCACCGGCUAACUACGUG